GGGCGUUUAGCUCAGCUGGGAGAGCAUCCGCUUGACGUGCGGAAGGUCACAGGUCCGAGCCCUGUAGCGCCCACCA
rnacentral:tRNA from 1 species